AUUGAACGCUGGCGGCAUGCUUUACACAUGCAGGUCGAACGGCAGCGCGGGCUUCGGCCUGGCGGCGAGUGGCGAACGGGUGAGUAAUACAUCGGAACGUGCCCAGUAGUGGGGGAUAGCUCGGCGAAAGCCGGAUUAAUACCGCAUACGACCUGAGGGUGAAAGCGGGGGAUCUUCGGACCUCGCGCUAUUGGAGCGGCCGAUGGCAGAUUAGCUAGUUGGUGGGGUAAAGGCCUACCAAGGCGACGAUCUGUAGCUGGUCUGAGAGGACGACCAGCCACACGGGGAAUGAGACACGCCCCAGACUCCUAGGGGGGGCAGAAGUGGGGAAUUUUGGACAAGGGGGAAAAGCCUGAUCCAGAAAGGCCGCGUGGGGGAGGAAGGCUUCGGGUUGUAAAGCACUUUUGGGGGGAACGAAAAGGACUGGGCCAAAACCACGGUUCGAUGGCGGAACCCGCAGAAAAAGCACCGGCUAACUACGU
rnacentral:rRNA from 1 species